rnacentral:rRNA from 1 species
UAGUCCACGCCCUAAACGAUGGAUACUAGUCGUUGGGAUCUCUAAUCAUCUCAGUGACGUAGCUAACGCGCUAAGUAUCCCGCCUGGGGAUUACGGUCGCAAGAUUAAAACUCAAAGGAAUUGACGGGGGCCCGCACAAGCGGUGGAGCAUGUGGUUUAAUUCGAUGCUACGCGAAGAACCUUACCUGGGUUUGACAUCCCGAGCUACUCUAUGAAAGUAGAGGUUCCCUUCGGGGACUCGGUGACAGGUGCUGCAUGGCUGUCGUCAACUCGUGUUGUGAGAUGUUGGGUUAAGUCCCGCAACGAGCGCAACCCUCGUCGUUAGUUACCAGCAUUAAGUUGGGCACUCUAACGAGACCGCCUGGCUAUAAGCCAGAGGAAGGUGGGGAUGACGUCAAGUCCUCAUGGCCUUACAUCCAGGGGCUACACACGUGCUACAAUGGAGAGUACAAUGUGUUGCUAGCUCGCGAGAGUCUG